UACAGAGGGUGCAAGCGUUGUUCGGAAUUAUUGGGCGUAAAGCGCACGUAGGCGGAUUGGUCAGUUAGGGGUGAAAUCCUGGAGCUCAACUCCAGAACUGCCUUUAAUACUGCCAGUCUCGAGUCCGGAAGAGGUAAGUGGAACUCCUAGUGUAGAGGUGGAAUUCGUAGAUAUUAGGAAGAACACCAGUGGCGAAGGCGGCUUACUGGUCCGGUACUGACGCUGAGGUGCGAAAGCGUGGGGAGCAAACAGG
rnacentral:rRNA from 1 species